UAAGCGGAGGAAAAGAAACCAACAGGGAUUGCCCUAGUAACGGCGAGUGAAGCGGCAACAGCUCAAAUUUGAAAUCUGGUUUCGGCCCGAGUUGUAAUUUGCAGAGGAAGCUUUGGGCGCGGCACCGACUGAGUCCCCUGGAACGGGGCGCCAAAGAGGGUGAGAGCCCCGUAGAGUCGGACGCUAAGCCUGUGUAAAGCUCCUUCGACGAGUCGAGUAGUUUGGGAAUGCUGCUCAAAAUGGGAGGUAAAUUUCUUCUAAAGCUAAAUACCGGCCAGAGACCGAUAGCGCACAAGUAGAGUGAUCGAAAGAUGAAAAGCACUUUGAAAAGAGGGUUAAAUAGCACGUGAAAUUGUUGAAAGGGAAGCGCUUGUGACCAGACUUGCGCCUGGCUGAUCAUCCGGUGUUCUCACCGGUGCACUCUCCCAGGCUCAGGCCAGCAUCGGUUCUCGCGGGGGGAUAAAGGCCCUGGGAACGUAGCUCCUCCGGGAGUGUUAUAGCCCAGGGUGCAAUGCCCUCGCGGGGACCGAGGUU
rnacentral:rRNA from 1 species